AACAUAAAGUUACACUUUUAAAAGCUCAUUUAACACUGUUUAACAUUUAAUUUAAAAGAAUUUACAAUCAAAUCUUCCGCCGAAAUAACUCCAGUAAAAAUAGAUCACCGUGAAGCAUCACGGGAAAAUACACAAGUAAACAAAGUAUGGCGGCGGCAGAAGUUUCAGUGAAACGUGUGUACUCGAAGACCAUAAAACAUCGAUCACACAAGAAAUAAGGUUUACUUCCUGCCAGUUUCCACUUAAGCACUGGACCAAUACCAUUAUCUUCCAUCUGGAGACAUUGUAGACUUGAUGAGUUGUACUUUGACAUCCAUUGUGUCCCUUCAGUAUCUACAGAGGAACACGAAACUCGUGAGGUAGGUCUGGAUUCUUGAAGACCACGACGUUUCCGUCGACUUUUACGUCCUGCCAUUGUGAUUUAUUUUUAUUU